GUGGGGAAUCUUGCGCAAUGGGCGAAAGCCUGACGCAGCCAUGCCGCGUGAAUGAUGAAGGUCUUAGGAUUGUAAAAUUCUUUCACCGGGGACGAUAAUGACGGUACCCGGAGAAGAAGCCCCGGCUAACUUCGUGCCAGCAGCCGCGGUAAUACGAAGGGGGCUAGCGUUGCUCGGAAUUACUGGGCGUAAAGGGCGCGUAGGCGGACAGUUUAGUCAGAGGUGAAAGCCCAGGGCUCAACCUUGCAAUUGCCUUUGAUACGGGCUGUCUUGAGUACGGGAGAGGUGAGUGGAACUCCGAGUGUAGAGGUGAAAUUCGUAGAUAUUCGGAAGAACACCAGUGGCGAAGGCGACUCACUGGCCCGUUACUGACGCUGAGGCGCGAAAGCGUGGGGAGCAAACAGGAUUAGAAACCCGGGUAGUCC
rnacentral:rRNA from 1 species